AGAAGGAUGAUGCAGCCAAGGAUGACUUGCCGGCAAAUCUAUCCACUGGACAAUUUCAAUUGCAUAUACAUUCAGUUUGUGCAUGAACAGAUCGGCAAGUUGUCCUUUGCUACAACAUGCUUCUUU
rnacentral:pre_miRNA from 1 species